UGAGGCUAACAGUAUCAUUCUGUCUGGUCUGUAGCAGAAGUUACGACUGUUUGAAGCUUGGGAUUGGAAGGUCGUAACUUCUGCUGCAGACCAGACAGAAUGAUACUGUUAGCCUCAU
rnacentral:pre_miRNA from 1 species